rnacentral:rRNA from 1 species
UACAGAGGGUGCGAACGUUGCUCGGAAUUACUGGGCGUAAAGCGCGUGUAGGCGGAGCGAUAAGUCGGAAGUGAAAUCCCCGGGCUCAACCCGGGAACUGCUUUCGAAACUGCCGUUCUCGAGUACCGGAGAGGGUGGCGGAAUUCCUGGUGUAGAGGUGAAAUUCGUAGAUAUCAGGAGGAACACCGGUGGCGAAGGCGGCCACCUGGACGGUUACUGACGCUGAGACGCGAAAGCGUGGGGAGCAAACAGG